rnacentral:rRNA from 1 species
UACGUAGGUGACAAGCGUUGUCCGGAUUUACUGGGCGUAAAGGGCGCGUAGGCGGUCUUUCAAGUCCCGUGUGAAAUCCCUCGGCUCAACUGAGGAACUGCACGGGAAACUGUUUGGCUUGAGUUCGGGAGAGGGAAGCGGAAUUCCGGGUGUAGCGGUGAAAUGCGUAGAUAUCCGGAGGAACACCGGUGGCGAAGGCGGCUUCCUGGACCGACACUGACGCUGAGGCGCGAAAGCUAGGGAGC